rnacentral:rRNA from 1 species
UAGGGAAUUUUCCACAAUGGGCGAAAGCCUGAUGGAGCAACGCCGCGUGCAGGAUGAAUGCCUUCGGGUUGUAAACUGCUUUUAUCUGUGACGAUUAUGACGGUAGCAGAUGAAUAAGGAUCGGCUAACUCCGUGCCAGCAGCCGCGGUCAUACGGAGGAUCCAAGCGUUAUCCGGAAUUACUGGGCGUAAAGAGUUGCGUAGGUGGCAUGGUAAGUUGGUAGUGAAAGCGUGCGGCUCAACCGUAUACACAUUACCAAAACUGCCAAGCUAGAGGACGAGAGAGGUAGAUGGAAUUCCUAGUGUAGGGGUAAAAUCCGUUGAUAUUAGGAGGAACACCGAUGGCGUAGGCAGUCUACUGGCUCGUUCCUGACACUCAGGCACGAAAGCGUGGGGAGCAAACAGGAUUAGAUACCCCCGUAGUCC